UGGGGAAUUUUGGACAAUGGGCGAAAGCCUGAUCCAGCAAUGCCGCGUGUGUGAAGAAGGCCUUCGGGUUGUAAAGCACUUUUGUCCGGAAAGAAAUCCUUGGCUCUAAUACAGUCGGGGGAUGACGGUACCGGAAGAAUAAGCACCGGCUAACUACGUGCCAGCAGCCGCGGUAAUACGUAGGGUGCAAGCGUUAAUCGGAAUUACUGGGCGUAAAGCGUGCGCAGGCGGUUUGCUAAGACCGAUGUGAAAUCCCCGGGCUCAACCUGGGAACUGCAUUGGUGACUGGCAGGCUAGAGUAUGGCAGAGGGGGGUAGAAUUCCACGUGUAGCAGUGAAAUGCGUAGAGAUGUGGAGGAAUACCGAUGGCGAAGGCAGCCCCCUGGGCCAAUACUGACGCUCAUGCACGAAAGCGUGGGGAGCAAACAGGAUUAGAUACCCUGGUAGUCCACGCCCUAAACGAUGUCAACUAGUUGUUGGGGAUUCAUUUCCUUAGUAACGUAGCUAACGCGUGAAGUUGACCGCCUGGGGAGUACGUCGCAAGAUUAAAACUCAAAUGAAUUGNCGGGGU
rnacentral:rRNA from 1 species